rnacentral:rRNA from 1 species
GACGAACGCUGGCGGCGUGCUUAACACAUGCAAGUCGAACGGAAAGGCCCUGCUUUUGUGGGGUGCUCGAGUGGCGAACGGGUGAGUAACACGUGAGUAACCUGCCCUUGACUUUGGUAUAACUUCAGGAAACUGGGGCUAAUACCGGAUAGGAGCUCCUGCUGCAUGGUGGGGGUUGGAAAGUUUCGGCGGUUGGGGAUGGACUCGCGGCUUAUCAGCUUGUUGGUGGGGUAGUGGCUUACCAAGGCUUUGACGGGUAGCCGGCCUGAGAGGGUGACCGGCCACAUUGGGACUGAGAUACGGCCCAGACUCUUACGGGAGGCAGCAGUGGGGAAUAUUGCACAAUGGGCGGAAGCCUGAUGCAGCAACGCCGCGUGCGGGAUGACGGCCUUCGGGUUGUAAACCGCUUUCGCCUGUGACGAAGCGUGAGUGACGGUAAUGGGUAAAGAAGCACCGGCUAACUACGUG